GUAAAUAAUUAGGUUUGUUUUCAGAAGUGUACUGUACUGCAAGAGGGUUUAAUGGGUCCCUGGCGGCAGCGGACUGCCGAGGGAACAACAAAGGUGCGCAUAGUCAAGGUAAUAGGCACGAGCGGCACGCCGACAAGCAGCGGCCUAGGCCAGGUAAUGAUCCUUCCGCAGGUUCACCUACGGAAA
rnacentral:misc_RNA from 1 species